CAUCGAUACUUGCUGUCAACUGACAGCGAAAAGUAACACCAGGGUUUUAUGGAUCACCUUGGUCCGUUCGAAAAGCGCGAAAACGACAAAAACAAACAACAUCACGUUUCGUGUAGGGAAAGUAAAUCGAAUAGCUAGUGAGAGUAGAAGUGAAGGUAAAAUUAAAACUAUUUAGCGCAAAAGUGGAACAUUUAACAUUAAAUUACUUAAUCUAGAUUAGACUACCACGAUUAGUACGGUCGAUUGAAACAUUGCACGAACAAAUUAAAAAGUGACUGUUAAUUUAGCAGGUAACUUGAGUGCCAAAACGUACACUGAAUCCUAACCUAAUAUGUACAAUUUCUACAGUCGUAAACAGUACGGAUCGUUGCUACUUGCGAGGACAGGCACAGGUACAGUUGAAGGACACUAAACGUAAGUGGAAAACAUUACUAUAAACACAAAAACGAAUGUUUAAGAUACCCGAACACGAAUGUACACACAAGUUAAAAAUCACUUAGCCUAAUUGGGGUUUCAUUUGUCUUCUUCAAAGGGAUUUAAUAACACAUCUACCAGAUAAUAAAGAUUGUUAUCGAACCGGAAUUUUACUUCUUCUGUCUGUCGUUCGCUUGCGCAACAUUUUAUUAAAUCCGUUUACGAUCGGGGGCUUAUUUUGUCGGUAUGUCGAAACAGCGGGGAACUGCACCAGUGGGUGCGAAUUGUGGACUAUGUCAACAGCCGGAUACUAGCCGUAUGGUAGCGUGUGAUUCCUGUGAACAGUGGUUUCACUUUGCGUGUGUUGGUGAGGAUUCGAGUGUUGAGGAUCGGGAGUGGAUCUGCGCGAGUUGUGUUGCCGCAGCUAAUCAACCUCCGGCUGGCACGUCGACACCCAAAAACAACAACAACGCCGGUGCAAUACCAAGGUCGGGGAAUAAUUUACCAACGGAUCCGAGACUGGAAGAACUUCUGCAGCAGCAGGUGUCCAAGCAGCUAGCGGCUAUGCAGGCGCAGUUUGACCGGAUGUUAAAAGAAAAGGAAGAACAACAGGCAAAGGAGCUCAACGAUCAACGGGAAAGAUACGAGCAAAGGCUGAAAGAUACGGAGCAGCGUGUGAUGGAGCAGGUAGCUGCGAGCCUGCGCGGAGGAUCAGCAGCGGGCUUGGGAGCAAACCAAACGUCGCAGAUUGCCAACGUUGGAGCGGCUCGAGGUGCUGUUCGGAGUGAGCAACCUGUUUUUUUAUUAGAAAGUGCAUCUACGGCGGGAGGUUCUGCAACCCAAAACCCGCAAGCGAUCAACAGUGGAGCGACAAGCAACGUACGGUGUAAUCAACCUAUGGCAUGGUUACCUGGUGCCGGGCCUCUAGCGAGUUCGACGACGAACCCACUGCCGCAGAUUCAUGCUGGCGAAGCGAGCUGCGACGCUCUUGCUCAGGAGUUGAAGCUGUUGGAGGAUAAGCAGGCUAUGGAGCGAAAGCAUUUCGAGGAGCGGAGGCAACUGCUGCAGCGGCGAAUGGCGGUGAAUGUUGGUCCGACCAGUGGAGGUACCGGCCUGAAUCCAGAAUCGGCGGCAUUUCAACCGAGUGUUGGCAGUUUCUGCGGUUCGACUGGAGGUGAUGCUGGGAUAAGGGCUCAAGCGACGGCGUUCUUGCCAAGUUUUGGUGGCUUACAUGGUGCUGCGGGCGGAGCGACUGGAGGUGGUGCCGGAAUACGGAGUCAAACGACGGCGUUCUUGCCGAGUUUUGGUGGCCCACAUGGUGCUACGGGUGGUGGAGUUGGAUUCAAUUCCCAAGCGACAACUGUUGGAGGUGGUUUCGGGUUUACAACGUUGAACCAGAGUCAGAUCUCGGCGCGGCAUGUUCUGAACAAGGAGCUUCCCUGUUUCGCUGGUAAUCCAGAAGAGUGGCCUCUUUUCAUUGCGAGCUACGAGAGCUCCAGCAGGAUCUGUGGGUUCAGCGAUGAGGAGAACAUGCUGCGGCUUCAGCGGUGCCUAAAAGGGAGAGCUUUGGAAGCAGUGCGAUGGCGUCUGAUGCAUCCCCAGAAUUUGCCAGGAGUGAUCGAGUUGUUGAAAAACCUAUUCGGGAGACCCGAAGCUAUCGUCUUCUCGUUCAUCAAGAAGAUCCGGGAAUUGCCGCCACCGAAGGAGGAGAAGCUGCAGACGCUCAUAGACUUCGGCGUGGCUGUUCAAAACGUCUGUGCCACCAUUACUGCAUCCGGUUUGGACGACUACAUGUUCGACGUGUCUCUUCUCCAGGAGUUGAUUGGCAAACUUCCGACAUCCUAUAGCAUGAGCUGGGCGUUUCAUCGACAGGGAUUGCCAAGGGCAACGCUCUGGGAGUUCGGCGAAUGGCUGGGAAUGGUUGUUCAGGCGGCGAGCACUAUUACGUUGCCUUCAGUAAAUGCUCCAAAAGUUGAAAGACGUGGUAGAAAGGACGAUAACUUUAUCAACGUGCACUCGGAGACUUGCUGCUGCAUCGACGCUCCACCGAUGGAAUGUCCUAGUACUGCCCCAAAGUCUAGGAGUUGCAUCGUGUGUCAAAAAGAUUGCAGCGGUCUCGAGAAAUGUCAGAAGUUCCUUGAUUGGGAUGUUGGAUCUCGCUGGACGGUGGUUAAGGAGCAGAAUUUGUGUAGGAAGUGCCUUCGAAAACACUAUGGAGCCUGCCAGGUGAAGGAGCCAUGCGGAAAGAAUGGGUGCACGUAUAAGCACAGCAGUUUGCUGCAUGACGACAAGCGGUAUAGUAAGCCGGCGAAUCCUGCGGAAAGUUGCAACAUGCAUUCCAAGGCAAUGCGGAGAGUCCUGUUCCGUUACGUUCCGGUGACUAUCUACGGUAGGGGAAAGCAGGUCAACACCUAUGCGUUUCUCGAUGAUGGAUCGUCUGCUACCUUGAUGGAGCACAGUCUGCUGAAGGAGUUGGGGUUGAAAGGCACUUCCUAUCCGCUGUGCCUCGACUGGACUGGUGGUCAAAGCCGCGAAGAAAACGAAUCGGUCGUACUAGCAGUGAAGAUUUCCGGAAUCAGCGGAGUGCCUGAUGUGUUCGAGAUGCCAGAGGUCCACACGGUUCGGGAUCUUUCUCUUCCGAAACAGUCGGUGUCGAUACCAAAGAUGGUGGAGAAGUACAGCUAUCUCGCAGGUUUACCGCUGCAGUCAUACGAGAGUGCCUCUCCGCGAAUCCUUAUCGGAAUGAACAACUGCCGUCUAGGAAGCUCGUUGAGGAGCAUUGAAGGAGGUGAGAACGAGCCAAUGGUGUCCAAGACACGACUCGGCUGGAUACUGUACGGUCCCUGUUCAUCGGAGCCCGGUGCGAGGAAUUCUGAUUAUAGUGGUCACCACAGUUUCCACAUCCGCCCGUGCGUCAAGGAGGACGUAAAGGAACUGAAUGCAGCACUUAAGGAGUAUUUUUCGAUCGAGUCGCUGGGGAUUGCCGGAGCGUCAAGGUCGAUGCUGUCGAAGGAUGAAGAGCGCGCUUUGAAGAUCCUGUCCACCGAAACGCGGCUGAUAGAAAACCGCUACGAGACCGGAUUAUUGUGGCGUUAUGACCAAAUAAACUUGCCGAGUAGCAGAGGAAUGGCCCUGAAGCGUCUGGACUGUCUACUAAAGCGGCUGAAGCGAGACCCUGAUCUAGCGGCCGCGAUGUCAGCGAAAAUGUCCGACUACGAGGAGAAGGGGUACAUUCGACGACUUUCCGCUCAGGAAAAGGCGGAGAAACAUUCGAACGACUGGUUCUUGCCGAUAUUUCCGGUUACGAAUCCAAACAAGCCAGGAAAGAUUCGCGUUGUAUUCGACGCAGCAGCCAAGGUCAACGGAGUUUCCCUCAAUUCGUAUCUGCUUACGGGUCCCGAUCAGCUAACGUCCCUGUUAUCAGUCCUCUUCAAGUUCCGGGAGUUCAGCGUUGCCGUCGUUGGAGACAUUCGAGAAAUGUUUUUCCAGGUCGCCAUGAAGAAGCAAGACCAGCGAAGCCAGAUGAUUCUGUGGACCAGUGGAAAUGAGAGCGGAGAUCCCGAGGUGUAUGUAGUGACGGUGAUGACCUUUGGGGCGGCAUGUUCUCCAAGCAGUGCACACUACGUGAAGAAUCGAAACGCUGACCGAUUCGAGGAGCAGUACCCUAGGGCGGUGCAGUGUAUCAAGUACGAGCACUACGUUGAUGACAUGCUGACAAGCGUCGAAACCGAGGAGGAGGCGGUGAAGCUAGCUGAUGAGGUAAGAUGGAUCCAUGCGCAAGGAGGUUUCGAGAUCCGAAACUGGCUUUCAAACUCCAGUUAUGUCGUUAAAAGUCUGCUUGAGGAGCCAAUCGUGGAGAAGAACCUUAGUGUCGGUCCGGAGAUGUCAACAGAAAAGGUCCUCGGGAUGUGGUGGGACACUACAACCGACACCUUCACAUUCAAGUUGUCACCGAAACACGACGCGGAGCUGCUAUCUGGUGCCAGGAUACCUACGAAACGGGAAGUCCUCAGAACCCUGAUGACAGUGUACGACCCUAUGGGGCUCAUCGGUAACUUCCUGAUCUACCUCAAGAUUCUGCUGCAGGAGAUUUGGCGCUCCGGAUCUGGCUGGGACGACGAGAUCAACGCACGACUAACCGAAAAGUGGCUGACGUGGAUCGAAACUUUGCCGAAUGUCCGACAGGUCAGGAUUCCUCGCUGCUACCGUACUACGACAUCCGCUGAAUCCAGUAACAGCAUCGAACUCCACAUCUUCUGUGAUGCCAGCGAGAAUGGAAUGGCUGCCGUAGCAUACUUCAGAUUCGAGGAAGAAGGGAAGGUGGAGUGUGCUCUAAUCGGAUCGAAAACUCGUGUGGCGCCGUUGAAAUUUCUCUCGAUUCCUCGCCUCGAGCUGCAAGCCGCAGUAGUUGGAGCACGUCUCGCCGGCAGCAUUGUGAGUUCGCAUAGAAUCCGGAUCACACGACGCAUUUUCUGGACCGAUUCCCGCGACGUAGUGUGCUGGCUACGGUCUGAUCAUCGGCGCUAUAGCCAAUUUGUGGCUUUCAGGAUCAGCGAACUGCUCGAUACGACGGAAGUGGGAGAGUGGAGAUGGCUGCCGACCAAGCAGAACGUAGCGGACGAAGGAACGAAGUGGCAAAGGUUGCCGGACUUUCAGCCGGAAAGUCGUUGGUUUCGAGGACCAGACUUCCUACGAGAACCCGAAAAUUCGUGGCCUGGCGAUGCUGGAGAUCAAGGAACGACUAUGGAAGAGAUCCGUGCCAGCGUUCUACACCACCAAGGAACCAAACCACUGAUCAUUUCAUUCGAACGUUUUUCGAAAUGGAAGCGACUUUUGCGGUCCGUCGGAUACCUACAUCGUUACUUCAUCAACUUUCAAAACACAGUCAAGAAAACCACCCUAGUAAGAGGCGCUCUGACGCAGGAGGAGUUGAAGCUAGCUGAGAACACGAUCUACCGAUGUGUUCAGCAGCAGGCUUACCCGGACGAAGUUCGAAUUAUUCGCAGCCGAGUAAAAGAAGAUUCACCUUGGGAACGUACUCUACCGAAAUCCAGUGCGCUGUACAAACUGAAUCCAGUCAUCGAUGAGCACGGUGUUCUACGAAUGCGAGGACGUAUCGGUGCCUGUGAUUGGGCAGAUGAGGCUACGAAAGAUCCCGUUAUACUCCCGAGACAACAUCAUGCUACCAACCUGUUGAUUGCUGAUUACCAUGCUACGUAUCAUCAUCAGAACCACCAAACAGCGCUCAACGAAAUCCGCCUCAAGUACAACAUUCCUCGUCUCCGCUCCGAGUUUGACCGAGUCCGAAGAAACUGCCAACGGUGCAAAAUCCGACAAGCGAACCCGAAACCUCCCGCGAUGGGGAACCUUCCGCCCGCCCGGUUGGCAGCGUAUCAGCGCCCAUUCUCGUACACCGGAAUCGAUUACUUUGGCCCAAUGUCUGUGUUAGUUGGCAGACGUACCGAAAAGCGAUGGGGAGUCCUGCUCACCUGUAUGACUACCAGAGGUGUGCACAUCGAGAUCGCGCAUUCGCUGAACACAGACUCGUGCAUCUUGGCGCUGCGUAAUUUCAUCGCGAGGAGAGGCUCGCCCUUGGAGAUCCUGAGCGACCGGGGUACCAACUUCAUCGGAGCCUCUAGGGAGUUAUGCGAGGCAUUGAAGCAGAUCGACGAAGAACGUCUGAAGGUGGAGUUCGUCAGCCCGACCACCAAAUGGACGUUCAACCCUCCAGCCGCUCCACAUUUUGGUGGCUGCUGGGAGCGCCUGAUACAGUCGGUGAAGAGAACUAUGAACGACUUCGACCCCCCGCGUUUACCCUCGGACGAGAUUCUUCGUUCCAUGUUGAUGGAGAUCGAGAUGAUCCUGAACUCUCGACCGCUAACCGACAUACCGAUCGACAACGACAGUGAACCACCCCUCACACCCAAUCACUUUUUGUUAGGGUCAUCUAACGGUAGUAAGCCCCCGAUCAUUUUCGACGACAGACCGAUUGUGCUGAAGCGUUCCUGGAAGAUGGCACAACAGUACGCAGACACGUUCUGGAAGAGGUGGGUGAACGAGUAUCUGCCCACGUUGACACGCAGGACCAAAUGGUUUCAGCCCGUGAAACCCAUCCAAGAAGGCGACCUAGUGAUCAUCAUCGACGGAAAUCUCCCUAGGAACUACUGGCCAAGAGGACGAGUGGUCAAAGCGAUCGCAGCCCAAGACGGGCAGGUUCGUCGCGUGACAGUGCAGACAUCGAAGGGGCUCUUGGAAAGACCGGCGACCAAGGUUGCUGUAUUAGACGUUGGUGCAACAGGAGGUAAGCCACAGGACGACAGUGGCGUACCGAGGGGGAGUGUCACGACGGUGCAGAGUGACGCACCUCCCCAAUAACAACAACCUUCUCACUCACCAUCGAUACUUGCUGUCAACUGACAGCGAAAAGUAACACCAGGGUUUUAUGGAUCACCUUGGUCCGUUCGAAAAGCGCGAAAACGACAAAAACAAACAACAUCACGUUUCGUGUAGGGAAAGUAAAUCGAAUAGCUAGUGAGAGUAGAAGUGAAGGUAAAAUUAAAACUAUUUAGCGCAAAAGUGGAACAUUUAACAUUAAAUUACUUAAUCUAGAUUAGACUACCACGAUUAGUACGGUCGAUUGAAACAUUGCACGAACAAAUUAAAAAGUGACUGUUAAUUUAGCAGUCGUAAACAGUACGGAUCGUUGCUACUUGCGAGGACAGGCACAGGUACAGUUGAAGGACACUAAACGUAAGUGGAAAACAUUACUAUAAACACAAAAACGAAUGUUUAAGAUACCCGAACACGAAUGUACACACAAGUUAAAAAUCACUUAGCCUAAUUGGGGUUUCAUUUGUCUUCUUCAAAGGGAUUUAAUAACACAUCUACCAGAUAAUAAAGAUUGUUAUCGAACCGGAAUUUUACUUCUUCUGUCUGUCGUUCGCUUGCGCAACA